rnacentral:SRP_RNA from 1 species
GCCGGGCACGGUGGUGCACACCUGUAGUCCCAGCUACUUGGGAGGCUGAGGCAGGAGGAUCACUUGAGCCCAGGAGUUUAAGGCUGCAGUGAGCUGCCGUAGUGCCUCUGCGUUCCAGCCUGGGUGAUAGAGUGAGACCCUGUCUCUA